GACGAACGCUGGCGGCGUGCCUAACACAUGCAAGUCGAACGGACAGGCCCUGCUUUUGUGGGGUGCUCGAUUGGCGAACGGGUGAGUAACACGUGUGUAAACUGCCCUUGACUUUGGGAUAACUUCAGGAAACUGGGGCUAAUACCGGAUAGGAGCUCCUGCUGCAUGGUGGGGGUUGGAAAGUUUCGGCGGUUGGGGAUGGACUCGGGGCUUGUCAGCUUGCUGGUGGGGUAGUGGCUUACCAAGGCUUUGACGGGUAGCCGGCCUGAGAGGGUGACCGGCCACAUUGGGACUGAGAUACGGCCCAGACUCCAACGGGAGGCAGCGGUGGAGAAUAUUACACAAUGGGCGGAAGCCUGAUGCAGCAACGCCGCGUGCGGGAUGACGGCCUUCGGGUUGUAAACCACUUUCGCCUGUGACGAAGCGUGAGUGACGGUAAUGGGUAAAGAAGCACCGGCUAACUACGUG
rnacentral:rRNA from 1 species